rnacentral:rRNA from 1 species
UGGGGAAUCUUCCGCAAUGGACGAAAGUCUGACGGAGCAACGCCGCGUGAGUGAUGACGGUCUUCGGAUUGUAAAGCUCUGUUAAUCGGGACGAAUGGUUUGUGUGCAAAUAGUGCAUAGACAUGACGGUACCGGAAUAGAAAGCCACGGCUAACUACGUGCCAGCAGCCGCGGUAAUACGUAGGUGGCAAGCGUUGUCCGGAAUUAUUGGGCGUAAAGCGCGCGCAGGCGGACUAGCCAGUCAGUCUUAAAAGUUCGGGGCUUAACCCCGUGAUGGGAUUGAAACUACUAGUCUAGAGUAUCGGAGAGGAAAGUGGAAUUCCUAGUGUAGCGGUGAAAUGCGUAGAUAUUAGGAAGAACACCAGUGGCGAAGGCGACUUUCUGGACGAACACUGACGCUGAGGCGCGAAAGCCAAGGGAGCGAACGGG